AUUAGGGUUUAACUGUGGCUUCUGCUUCGCGGAUGCAUAAUUGAAGCAAAUGCAUUCGAUCUUGUUACGUUUUAAUGGAUUUAAUGCGUUCUCUAUGUGGCCUAUGGGAUGUUAUUCUGAUUUGGGGUAAUUGCGAGUUCAAAUGUUGCUGAACGCUGCAAUAAUCAAUCGCGAUGGUUUGUGGAGUAGUUGCAGAUCGGUAGGAAUGAACACGCCAAGUGUUGGAAUUGAAUUUAUUUAAGGAAGUUUCGAUUGUGUUGAUAUAGUUAUCGAAUUCUGGCUAAUAUUUUUUGUUGUAUUUGUUCAGAAUGUCAUCGUUAUUGUUGCAUAUUUUAGGCCACUAUUUUAUGAGGAUUAGAAAUUAUUUUCAAUUUUUUUUUGUUUUUUCAUAGAUUGUUUGUAAAUUCUCUGUUUGGGAGUGAAGGUUGUUGAUGAAGGCUUUUGGAGUUC